rnacentral:rRNA from 1 species
AUACGGAGGAUGCAAGCGUUAUCCGGAUUUAUUGGGUUUAAAGGGUGCGUAGGCGGGACUGUAAGUCAGGGGUGAAAUACUGCAGCUUAACUGUAGCAUUGCCUUUGAAACUGCCGUUCUUGAGUACAGUUGAGGUAGGCGGAAUGUGGUGUGUAGCGGUGAAAUGCAUAGAUAUACCACAGAACGCCGAUUGCGAAGGCAGCUUACUAAGCUGUUACUAACGCUGAGGCACGAAAGCGUGGGGAUCAAACAGGAUUAGAUACCCUGGUAGUCCACGCUGUAAACGAUGAUUACUGGUUGUUAGCGAUAUAUAGCUAGUGACUGAGCGAAAGCAUUAAGUAAUCCACCUGGGGAGUACGUCGGCAACGAUGAAACUCAAAGGAAUUGACGGGG